rnacentral:rRNA from 1 species
UACGUAGGGGGCAAGCGUUGUCCGGAUUUAUUGGGCGUAAAGAGCGUGUAGGCGGCCAUACAGGUCAGCUGUGAAAACUCGAGGCUCAACCUCGAGACGUCGGUUGAAACCGUAUGGCUAGAGUCCGGAAGAGGAGAGUGGAAUUCCCGGUGUAGCGGUGAAAUGCGCAGAUAUCGGGAAGAACACCCGUGGCGAAGGCGGCUCUCUGGGACGGUACUGACGCUGAGACGCGAAAAGCGUGGGGGAGCGAACAGG